rnacentral:rRNA from 1 species
CCUACGAGAGUCUGCAGUGAGGAAUAUUGGUCAAUGGGCGCGAGCCUGAACCAGCCAAGUCGCGUGAGGGCAGACGGUCCUAUGGAUUGUAAACCUCUUUUGUCGGGGAGCAAACGACGCCACGCGUGGCGUUCCGAGAAUACCCGAAGAAAAAGCAUCGGCUAACUCCGUGCCAGCAGCCGCGGUAAUACGUAGGAUGCGAGCGUUAUACGGAUUUAUUGGGUUUAAAGGGUGCGAAGGCGGAAGAACAAGUCAGCGUGAAAAUUGCGAGGCUCAACCUCUUCGAGCCGUUGAAACUGGUUUGCUUGAGUGAGUGAGAAGUAUGCGGAAUGCGUGGUGUAGCGGUGAAAUGCAUAGAUAUCACGCAGAACUCCGAUUGCGAAGGCAGCAUACCGGCGCUCAACUGACGCUCAUGCACGAAAGUGUGGGUAUCGAACAGGAUUAGAUACCCCGAGUAGUC